rnacentral:tRNA from 14 species
GCGCCAGUGGUGGAAUUGGUAGACACGCCAGAUUUAGGUUCUGGUGCCGAGAGGUGUGGGGGUUCAACUCCCUCCUGGCGCACCA